CGCCGCCGGGGCCGCCUCAGAGCCGGGAGCGCCGGCAGCCCGGCCUCUCUCUCUCUCUUUCUGCCGGGGCGGGCUGCGGCUCCGCCUUGCGCGCUUCCCGGGAGCAGCUUCCCAGGGCAGACUGAGGUCUGGCUCUUCCCUUUCUGCGGUUUGCUUCUCUCCCCGCCUUUCCCACCGGUAUUAAACCCUGGAGGCUGGAUCCCGCGGGGCCAGUGUCCCGCCGCCAGUGCCCCGAGGGCUGCGCUGGAGGCGCCGGGCACAGCGGGGCGGCGGCUCCUCCAGUCUUGGCUGUUACCCUAAAGUGAGAGACAUGUGGGUCACAAAUGGCUCCCAGGGUUGGGGCUUGAACAGCUGGUAAGGAGAGUUGCCUUUUUCCUGUUCUGCUCUGGUAUCUAGUCUAGCUGCACCCUUUCUACUCAAGUUGUUGUUUAAGGUUUUCUUUCAAGACUGUACUUCUUUAGGACUUACCUCACCCCUUCCUCAGCAACUACUUUGAUUGGCUCUUAGGAGCUGAAACUCCCUGCCCUGGAUUGGACCACCCAAGUGUGGAGGAGCAGAGUCCACACAAAGUUACCAGGGUCCUCUUUGUUCAGGGGGAAUGAAAUGACCUCUGUUCUAGAACCACCCAUGUACAUUUGAAACUUCAUACACAGCAUAGUGUUAAUACCCUCUCCAGCAGAACCAGGUUUCUUCCCCAACAUGAUUCCAAUUGCCUCACCUGCACUUUUAUUUUUUUUUAAAUACUUGUUUUAAUUAUUUGAAAGGCAGAGAUACACAGAAAGGGAGAGACAGAGAGAGGUUUUCCAUCCACUAAGUCACUUCCCAAAUGGCUGCAACAGCUGGGGCUGGGCCAGACUGAAGCCAGGAGCCAGGAACCUCUUCUGGGUCUCCCACAUGAGUGCAGGGACCCAACCUCUUGGCUCAUCCUCUGCUGCUUUCCCACGCUCAUUAGCAGAGCUGGAUCAGAAGUGGAGCAGCCGGGACUGGAACCAACUCCCAUAUAUAGGUUGCUACUGUCAGCUGCUUUUCCCUCUCCACCACAAAGCCAACCCCAUCACACACACUUUCGCGUGGUAAGCUUUUUCCCAAAUUUGAGGAUUGGAUUUGGGCUCUGGAGAUUCGAAAUUUGACAAUACUUGCUUUAAGAGAGUAGGAGGAAGAACGGGAAGUUUGAACGGGAAGUUUUAAUUACAGCUUUCAGUUUGUUUAUUCAUUUUCCUCUGAAGACUAAUGUCCACCUACUUUGUUUUAUCAGAAGGUUCAAUCCCAGUUUGAAAGUCCAUUUAAAUGAUAAAAGCGGAGCUAUUCAAAGUCUUUUGUUAAAAUGAGGCUUAAAAUUAGAGAAUCAAUCUGAUGGGUAGAUGGGCUGACCACAUUUUCCCCAGAAAUAGCUUGUUCUUUCUCCUCUGAUAUCUUCUCCAAAGAAGCAUUAAGCAUAUUCCACAACCAGUGAUACUAAGACUGCAGAGCCCACACAGACACAGAUAUGUGCAAGCAAGUACCGGCACGCUCUUCUUGCAGGAGCCUUGGGGAGAAAAACGAGGAUAAUUCAGUCAGGAGGCUGGGUGGGAAGCCGACUGGCCAGGACUUCAAUGUCUCCGUUGAUUUUCAGGCUCAUCUUGCCAAAUCAGAGUGACUGGUGGCUCCUCAGGGACAAACUAUGGAUUCUGUUAAACAAUGCCCUUUUUUCUUCUUCUAGAUUGAGGAGGAUCAUUCUUCAAUCCUAUACGUGAGUGAGUGGCUGCUGGAACCUUACACACACACACACACACAGAUAAUAAAAAUAAGUAAAAUGUAUGCAGUGUUUUUCAGGCUCCUAAGAGAAAGUGCUUCGGGAUGGGAUGGUUAUGUGUUAGCCAGGGCCCAUGAGCUGAAUAGAACCAAGAAACCCAACCCACCUCUCCAGAAACACCUUUGCAUGUACCCUGCGGGCUCUUGCAUCGCUAUCCACUCUCUACCCUCAGAUGACAGGAGGGACCAUCUUUAGGUCUGUCCUUGACUCUAGUGUGUGGCUUGGGGGUCCAUUUCCUCUGAUGGAUGGGGAGAAGGUGUCAGAGCCCCAGUGUUCUUCAUUUCUUCUCCUCAUCACCAGGAAUUUAUGCUUGAUGAGCACUCUCACGUUUUUCUUAAACAUAGUAAAAUGCUUUUCAUUUUUUUUCUAAGAAUGUUCUUUGCUGCCAACAUGUAAAUAAUCUGAGACCACCUUUGAGAGAGGUUAAUGACUGGAGCAAUGAGAGGUCAUCAGUUCAUUGGAAACUGGAUUUGUAUUCAGGUCUGGAGUCUGGGAAGUCCAAAAUCAAGACUGAUCAAGACACCAGGAGAAGAUUUGGUGUCUGGUUCAUUCCAAAAUUGAACAUAUUGAAGUUUCAAUAUGCUGGUUAUGAAGCUAUUAAUUACUGAAGAAUCAAGCAGGAUGAUUCAACUUACAUUGCUGAAGGACCAAGAGAAGGGAGGGAGAGGAAGAGAUAACGGAGAACCUGAUGCACAGAAGAAAGCCCACGUGAAGAGGCAGAAGGAGGCCAGCCGUCUGCAAGCCAAGGAGAGAGACCUCAGGAGAAAUCAACUCUGCUCAGCCUUGGUCUUGGACCUCCUGUCUCCAGAGGCAUGAGAAAAUGAACAUCUGUUAUUGAAGCCGCCCAGCCUGUGGGGUUUUGCAAUGGCUGCUCUGGCAGGCUGAUCCAGCCUGUAGAAACCUACCGCACAGCCAACCCAAGCAUAAGCCUUCACCUGCCCACUAGAAGUGACCUGUAUUUAGGUUACAUAAAAAGAAGUUCUCUGCUUUGUUUUAUAGUUUUGCCACUCACUUGUGUAUCCCUGAACAAUCAAGUGCAUUGCAUUUGUAUUACUUGAAGAAACCGGGUCUUUGUCCUGAUGGUGUUACCACCAGAAAGUUAUCUGGCCCCAAAUUUCAAACCUGAAUGUGAUCAAGUCCAUGGACUCAAAUACUAAUCUGUAGGAAACACAUAGAACAGAGACAUUUGUUCAUUCCGCAUGUAGGCAAUCAGCAAAUUCCAUUACAGCUUCUGUAAGAUGGGAGAAAUGCUUGGCUCUUCUGUCUUUCAAAUGAAUGAAUGAAUCAAUAAAUAAGUAUUUUUUCCAGUUUUAGAAAAACUAGGUUUAAAAAAUAAUGAGUUGAUCCUCUGUUAUCCUUCAAAGAUAGCAAAAUUGUUAAAAGCAUCAUUAUGAAUGCACAUAUUUAACAAAUACUUCAGAUUAGCAUGCAGAUAAUUAUCUUAUAUUCCAGAAACCAUGCUGACAUACUUAAGAAUACAAACAAUAUUUUUCAGCCUUUCCUAAAUUAGUGUAUUCUUUUUACAGAGACAUAAGCUUUCUUAUUUAAAGUAUAUUUAAUGUAUUUUAGCCUUUUCUUAUUUCUUAUCAAUGUUCACCCUGUCAAGCUUUGACUAUUGGAAACUUCUUUGAGUUACUAUUGAGUCCAUUUUAAAAUAAAAUAUAUAAUUAUUUUCAUUUUGUUUGAAAGGCAGAGAGACAGAGAUUGAUUGUCUAUUCCCCAACUUCCAGCAACAGCUAGGGAUGCAGUAGGCCAAAGUCAGGAGCUCAGAAUCAAUCCUGUCUCUCAUGUGGGUGGUAGGAAGUCAAGUGCUUGAGCCAUCACCUGCUUCCUGCUGGGGUAUACAUUAGCAGAAAGCUAGGAGCAGUGCCAGGAACUGAACCCAAUGAUUUCUUUUUUUCACUUUUUUUAAAUGAUUUUUCCCCAAAGAAAGCUUUUAUUUAAGGAGUACAAAAUUCAUGCAUUUUGUAAAUACAAUUUUAGGAACAUAGUGAUUCUUCUCACCAUACCUGCCCUUCCACCCAUACUCCCACCCCUCUUCCUCCUUUCUCUCUUAUUCCCAGUCUCAGUUUUUUUUUUUAAAGAUUUAUUUUAUUUAUUUCAAAGACAGAGUUACAGAGAGAGGUAGAGACAGAGAGAGAGGUCUUCUAUCCGCUAGUUCACUCCCCAGAUGGCCGCAAUGGCCGGAGCUAUGCCAAUCCGAAGCCAGCAGCUAGGAGCUUCUUCCAGUCUCCCACAUAGGUGCAGGGGCCCAAGGACUUGUGGCAUCUUCUACUGCUUUCCCAGGCUGGAUUGGAAGAGGAGCAACCGGACUAGAACCGGCACCCAUAUGGGAUGCCAACGCUUCAGUUUUUACUAAGAUCUUUUUUUUUUUUUUUUUUUUUUUUUUUUUUUAAUUUUGACAGGCAGAGUUAGACAGUGAGAAAGAGAGACAGAGAGAAAGGUCUUCCUUCCAUUGGUUCAUCCCCCAAAUGGCUGCUACGGCCGAAGCUACGCCAAUCCAAAGCCAGGAGCCAGGUGCUUCCUCUUGGUCUCCCAUGCAGGUGCAGGGCCCAAGCACUUGGGCCAUCCUCCACUGCACUCCUGGGCCACAGCAGAGAGCUGGACUGGAAGAGGAGCAACUGGGAAUACAACCCGGCACCCAUAUGGGACGCCGGUGCCACAGGCGGAGGAUUUACCAAGUGAGCCAUGGCACUGGCCUCAACUAAGAUCUUUUUUCAGUGAACUUUAUGCACAGAAGAUUAACUCUAUACUAAAGUAAAGAGUUCAGCAAGUUGUAUGAAAAAAACACCUUGAACCCACUCAUUUUAAUGUGGGAUUCAGGUGUCCAGCUGGUGUCUUAACUCCUGCUCCGAAUGCCUACCCUUCUUGAAUCCUUUUGAAAAGCUUGUGAAUCUAUAUGAGCUUUGAUGUAUUUCAGGAUUUUAUCUUUCAUUUAGUAAUGCCAUAAGCUUGUUUCCUGUGGCUUUAUAAAUCCAGCAAUAUUUAGUUCUCCAGUGUUGUUAUUCUUCAAGAGUCUAAAUUUUCUUGAUUGUUUUCAUUUACAUUUUAUCUUAGAAUCAACUUUUCAACUUCCUCCAAAGUUGGAAUUGUAUUAAACUGAUAGAUGAACUUCCGGAAGAAGAGGUAUGUUUAUGGUGUCAAGUCCUUCAAUUUGUGAACAGGAUAAAGCCACCAUUUGUUUAGUUUUACUUAAUUCCUUUUGAUAAUAUUUUUUUUUCAAAGUAGUAAUUUUACAUGACGGUCUAUAGGAUUUAGCUACAGACAUUUUUUUUUUUGACAGAGUUAAACAGUGAGAGAGAGAGACAGAGAGAAAGGUCCUCUCUCCGUUGGUUUAUCCCCCAAAUGGCUGCCAUGGCCAGAGCUACGCCAAUCCGAAGCCAGGAGCCAGGUGCUUCCUCCUGGUCUCCCAUGUGGAUGCAGGGGCCCAAGCACUUGAGUCAUCCUUCACUGCCCUCCCAGGCCACAGCAGAGAGCUAGACUGGAAGAGGAGCAACUGGGACUAGAACCCGGCACCCAUAUGGGAUUCUGGCAUCGCAGGUGGAGGAUCAACCAAGUGAGCCACGGUGCUGGCCCCCAGGCAUCUUUUUUUUUUUUUUUACAUUGUUAUAAAUUACAUUUAUACUCUUAAAGAACUUAGUUUUCUAAAUGUUGGUUCUUGAUAUAUAAAAUUCAAUAAUUUUCAUAUAUUGAUUUUAUAUCCUAUACCAGUGAUUAGAAGAUAAAUUAAUCAAUGAAUAUGCUAAUUUCACUUAUUAACUGCAAAAGCCUAUAUUCAAUCCUUGGGGGCAUAUUUUUUUUUAACUUUUAUUUAGUAAAUAUAAUUUCCAAAGUACAGUUUAUGGAUUACAAUGGCUUUCCCCCCAUUAACUUCCCUCCCACCCGCAACCCUCCCAUCUCCUGCUCCCUCUCCCAUUCCAUUCACAUCAAGAUUCCUUCUCAAUUAUCUUUAUAUACAAAAGAUCGAUUUAGUAUAUAUUAAGUAAAGAUUUCAUCAGUUUGCACCCACACAGAACAUAAAGUGUAAAAUACUGUUUGAGUACUAGUUAUAGCAUUAAAUCUCAAUGUACAGCACACUAAGGACAAAGAUCCUACAUGAGGAGUAAGUGCACAGUGACUCCUGUUGUUGACUUAACAAAUUGACACUCUUGUUUAUGGCAUCAGUAAUCACCCUAGGCUCUUGUCAUGAGCUGCCAAGGCUAUGGAAGCCCCCUGAGUUCACUGACUCUGAUCAUAUUUAGACAAGGCCAUGGUCAAAGUGGAAGUUCUCUCCUCCCUUCAGAGAAAGGUACCUCCUUCUUUGAUGACCCAUUUUUUCCACUGGGAUCUCACUCGUGGAGAUCUUUCAUUUAGGUGUUUCCCCCCCCCUCCCCCAGAGUGUCUUGGCUUUCCAUGCCUGAAAUACUCUCAUGGGCAUUUCAGUCAGAUCUGAAUGCCUUAAGGGCUGAUUCUGAGGCCAGAGUGCUAAAAUGAGUACAGUCAUGUCAUUUGACAAAAAUGAGACUUUGAUAUUUUUCACUUCUUAUAUUUUAAGACUAUUUCUUUUUCUUGAUGAUAGUAGACAAUGAUGGGUCAUUUUCUUAUUUUGUUUCCAAACUCAAAGGAAAGCUCUAAAUAUUUCAGUAUUAAAGAAAAUAUUUGCUGUUUUUGUUUGUUUUAAAUACUCUUAAUUCAGCUUAUGGAAGUUACUUUACUUUCCUAGUUUGCUAAGAAUAUGUUUUUUAAAGAAUUGUGACCUGACGGAUACCCUAUCCCCAAUAGAAUGCAAGUUUAUAUUAUCAAUCAUCAUAUAAUAUCAUUUUUUAUUCUUUUAAUAUGUUAAAUUUCAUAGUUUUAUUUUCAAAUAUUAAAUAAAUCAUUCAUUCCAAGAAUAGACCCAGCUUGAUUGUGAUAUGCUGUUCUUUUAAUCCAUCACCGGUUCUGGUUGGCUCAUAUUUUACUGUGGCUAUUUACUUCUUUAUGAGGGAGUUAAUCUGUUGCUUGUUUAUUGUAAUAUCAUUAUCAAGUUUUGGUAUGAAGAUUAUGCUUGUUUAUAGUUGGGAAUUAUGUGUCUUUUUCUGUUCUCUGAAAGAAUUAGUAUAAGGUUAUUUUUAUAAAAAAGACUAAUUGAAGUUUUCUGACAAAACUAUCUGGAAUGAACGUUCUUUGUGGAUUUUAUAAAUUAUCAAUUAAUCAAUUAUUUAUUUCAAAGAAAGAGCAAGAGCAAGAGAGAAAGAGAGAUCUUCCAUCUUUUGAUUCAUUCUGCAAAUGCCCCCAAUAGCUAGGGCUGGGCCAGUCUGAAGCCAGGAGCCCAGAACUCAAUCUGGGUCUCCUAUAUGGGUGGCAGGAACCCAAACACUUGGGCCAUAGCUUGCUGCUUCCCCCACUGUACUUGGGCAGGAAGCUGGAAUUGGAAGCAGAACUGGGACUCAAACCCAGGCACUCUGAUACUGGGUGCAAGCAUCCCAAAUAGCAUCUUAACCACUGUACCAAAUGCCUGCCCCUUUGUGGGUUUUUAACCUUGAUUUUAUGGUUGAUAUGGAAUAAUUCAGAUUUUUCUGUUUCUUCUUGUGUCAGUUUUGAUCUGUUCAUUUCAUCUAAAAUUUAAAAUUUUUUGGCAUAAAGUUGUUCAAAAUAGUUUCUUACAUCCUUUUAAAUAAUAGCGUCUCCUUUAAUUCCUGAUUAGUAAUUUAUGCCUUAAUUCUUUAAAAAUUUUUAAAAUUUUAAUUAGAUUUUAACAGAUUCAAUAUGCUUUGUAGAUACAAUUCUUUUUUUUUUUUAAGAUUUAUUUUAUUUAUUUGAAAGACAGAGUUACAGAGAGAGAUAGAGACAGAGAGAGAGAGAUCUUCCAUCCGAUGGUUCAUUCCCCAAUUAGCUGCAAUGGCCAGAGCUUCGCCAAUCCGAAGCCAGGAGCCAGGAGCUUCUUCCAGGUCUCACACGCAGGUGCAGGAGCCCAAGGACUUGGGCCGUCUUCCACUGCUUUCCCAAGCCAUAGCAGAGGGCUGGAUCGAAAGAGGAACAACCGGGACUAGAACCAGUGCCCAUAUGGGAUGCCAAAGCUUCAGGCCAGGGCUUUAACCGUCUGCGCCACAGCGCUGGCACCUGUGGAUGUAAUUCUAAGAAUGUAAUGAUAUUCCCUUUCUCCCUUCCCCUCUCUUCCUCCUACUUUCCGUCCUUUGUUUUUUUUUUUUUUUUUAGUUUUUUAGCUUUUGAGAUAACAUCUUCUAAAUUUACAUUACAGUAAAGAGGCUUAAUACUCCACCAAAUAAGAAGUUUAACAAGUAAAAAGCAAAAAGACCCUAGUUUAGUGGAAAUAUAGACAAUGGCUAUAAACAAUGUCUUAAUUCUUUUCUUAAUAAAUCUUACUAGGUGUUUAUUAAAUUGAUUACUCUUUUCAAAGAACUAACUCUUGUCUUUAUUGAUUUUUCUCUUGAGUUGGUUUCUUUUCUAAGACCUCACACACGAAAGGUCUUCAGUGAGUUCAUGGAAAAUGUGCAUUAUCUAUUAAUCCCAUUUCCAUGAAACUUUUGAAGUUCUCUCAUAUAUCUUAUUGAUUUUCUCUCUCUAGAGAACUCUGAUUAAGUGGGUAUAUUGCUGAGGGUAUGGAUCUCUGUUCUCUGCUGUGUUCUAUCGAUCUAAGAGUAUAUCCCUUCUGCC